GUGAUCCACCUGCCUCGGCCUCCCAAAGUACUGGGAUUAUAAGCAUGAGCCACCGUGCCAGGGUUUGGUAGCUAAAUUGAAUGCUCAGAGACUGCCUCCCUUCUUUUCUGCUCCUUUAACUCUGGCAUUGUUUAUUAGCUUUCUGAAAUCAUCUGCAGUUCUUAGCUCUCUUGUGGAACUUCCAGGCUGACCUCCAGGGUCACUCAGGGUGAGGGCCACUGACCCUGAACAAGGUCUUUGGUUCUGUGGGCUGACACCAGGACUGGACUGCAGCCUCACCCCAGACCACACCGAUUCCACACGUGCCUCCCUCACCCUUGUCCACAUUUAUCCAUCAGCAUCCUGCCUGGAAGUCCUCUCCUGGGCCCCCACCCCCUCAGGGAAUGUUCAUCUGCAUUCUUCCUGAGCCAGGGCAGAGCCGAGCCUCCCUGAAGUGUGAGCAUGAUGCUGACUGCAGGCUCUGAUUCUUUUCCCAGUGCCAGGUGGAGCUCAACAGGAGAGUCCUAGCGGAUCUGGCCAUCUACGAACCAAAGACUUUUAAAUCUUUGGCUGCCUUGGCCACCAGGAGGCGACAAGAAGGCUUUGCUGCCGCUUUGGGGGAUGGGAAGGAGCCCGAAGGCAUUUUUUCACGAGUGGUGCAGUACCACUGAGGAUUGCUGUAUUCAUCAGGAAAAGACAGAGUCAUUUGCAGUUGCUUUGAUUUGUACUUGUGUUUAUCCCCUACAUUCUAGUAACAGCCAUGAGGGGCCCCUCCUCUCUGGGGCAGAGCCUCACAGAUGACUUCUGUGUUUCGUGUGAGUGAAACUCAAACACUGUUCAGUUUUUAGAGCCAUUUUCCUGUAUCAAGCGAACACUCCAUGGAGCUCGCCUCGCGUCAGGGCUGCUGCAGGCACCUGGUUGUGGGAUGCAGCUGAGCUCUGCACACUGGGAGGUCUACUCCAGGCUCCCCUCAAGGGCUGUGUGUGCAGUGCCCGCUGGCCAGUUCCCUGAGCCCCUACCUACUCCAUCCCACCCAGGACUGACCUCAGACCUCGCCCUGCCCCAUCCCCCCAGGCUCAUGUCCAGCAGAGCCCUGUGGCUCAGCUAUGCCACCACUCAGAACACCAGCCUCAGCUUCCUUAGGUGCUCCGCGUUCAGCAGCCCAGCAGGGAUUGGGGGAAAUGCCCCCACAUCAGGUGGGUGGUGGCCUGGUCCCCUGCAGGUUGGACUGACUUUUUAGCUAUCUCCAGGAAGCAAGACCCAACAGACAACUGUCCAUUAACCCCAAGGCUGAUGUAUGUCUCCCCUGGUCUUUCUGCCUGAGGAAGGCUCUUGAGACCCAGGUUACCCACUGCUGUCUGCCUGCUGAUGCCCGCUUCAUUUACACAGCAGUGCACACACCCCGCCCCAACCUGCUUGUUUUGCUGACCUGCCGUAGGAGCACCUAAAGUGAGUGCCCAUUUCCCCACCAAAGGCAGCCAGCUUGCAUCCUGUGGGGAUGUGCCCUUCACCCUUGGCCAGCAGUUGCUGGGCAGUCUCUCUGGGCCUUUUUCUUAGACUCACCACCCACUUCCAGCCUGCACAGAGAAACAAAGUCCUGGCCACUUGCUAGAGAUGGCUUCAGGCCGACCACUCCAUUCUCAAUGCAGGCGUCAUCCUUUCUGGCUUCCAUCACUGCAUGGCUAAGAGGUCCCCCUCCUGGCCCGUCACUGUGCUUGAUGACAGCCACCACACCUGAAGCCUCUGGACACUGGGGACCAAGUCUCAUUCGGCAUCCUUUCCCCUGCAUGAGUGCAGCGUCUGGCCGUGUGCACGGGGCGUUAAAUGCCUGACAGAGCUUUGGGCGGCCACAUUCUGUGCACACUGCUGCACUGUGGCAAAGCUGCCUGUGCUGCAUCCCAUCUCAAUAAAGGAAUACACAGAUGUCACAGACUACUGUGGGCUGCUCCCAGCAUGCACUCGCUUUGUGCCAGCAGAGGCUGUGGUGCCAUGGUCCUGUUCCCAGGCAGCUCCAGAGCCUGGGCCUGAUUGGCUGGAGGCACCACCACCUCCCACUCUGGCAGUCACAGCUGAGGGAACCGGCAUGCAGCACCGUGAGAAACCAGCUGUGUGGUGGGGCUUCCUGCGAUGUGUAGCUAUAACACAUAAGACUGCCAGCUUGGGGAAAGAGAAUGGGGUGAAGCUGUAACCAUAUCCUGUUGCCCAUGGCAGGCGGUGAGGAGAGUGGGUCUUGGUUGUUACUGUCAUGGCAGAGCUAAUGGACAGCUGGGCCUGGGGGCGGGGUGAGGGGCAAUGGUGGCCUCUGGAUUUCAGCCCGUUUAAACUGGGCGGUCACUCAAUUCUAAAUCU